UACGUAGGGUGCGAGCGUUGUCCGGAAUUACUGGGCGUAAAGAGCUCGUAGGCGGUCUGUCGCGUCGGCUGUGAAAUCCCGAGGCUCAACCUCGGGUCUGCAGUCGAUACGGGCAAACUAGAGUAUUGCAGGGGAGACUGGAAUUCCCGGUGUAGCGGUGAAAUGCGCAGAUAUCAGGAAGAACACCAACGGCGAAGGCAGCUCGCUAGGACGGUACUGACGCUGAGACGCGAAAGCGUGGGGAGCGAACAGG
rnacentral:rRNA from 1 species